UACAGAGGGUGCGAGCGUUAAUCGGAAUUACUGGGCGUAAAGCGCACGUAGUCGGCUUUGCAAGUCGGGUGUGAAAUCCCCGGGCUCAACCUGGGAACUGCAUCCGAGACUGCAUUGCUAGAGUAUGGGAGAGGGAAGCGGAAUUUCUGGUGUAGCAGUGAAAUGCGUAGAUAUCUGGAGGAACACCGGUGGCGAAGGCGGCAUCCUGGACCGGCAUUGACGCUGAAUAGCGAAAGCCAGGGGAGCAAACGGG
rnacentral:rRNA from 1 species